UAUUGCUACAGCGUUGUAGGGGUUGGACUGGAGUAGAGCACAUUACGUCCAUAAUGAGUCGAGACAUGAAAGAAUGUACGAAACUGUAGUUUUCCAAAAAUAAUAUCGUGGGUCACUUCAGGGACUCGAGCUAUUCAACUCCUUGUCCAGAUGUGACUGUUUCAGAACUGUUAUGUCAAACAUGAAAAGACAAAGUUCAUGGCAGGAGGAUAUCGCCCGAAACUUUUCCAGACUAUUUCAAAGAACUAGAUCUCAAGAACCUGAGAAAACAGAGGAAAGCAACAUCAGUGGCCAGGAGAAUUCAGUCAGCAGCAGCCUCAGCAGUGAGACCAAUGAAGGUGAACCAUCUCUCCACCAAGAAGACCUGGAGCUGUCCAAGGCAUUCCAAGGCACGGAAGAAAAGGGAGACGGAAGAGAGGAAGGAGUGCCAGGAGAGGCACUGGAGGACGAAGAGAGAGAGAGAAAGGAGAAAGGAGGAGAGGGCAGCAGCAGCAUAUUGGAGGAUGCCGGGGGGUACUCCGAGGACCAGCCCCUCGUCCCGCCCCCCUCAGUGGACUCUCCUUGCUCUCCGGCGAGCCCCCUGGGGCCCGGCACUCCCACGCCUCCUCCCCCUUUAGAUGCCUUCUUCAGGAGACUAGGGAGUUUGUUCCACUUCAAGGCUGAACCAACCAGAGGAGCCCAGCCGCAGGAGGAACAGCAGCAGGCAGAGGAGGAAGGAGGACAAGAGGAGGAGGAGGAGGAGAAGACAGCAUUAGCAGUGGUGUCUAUUGAGCCAGACCUCUCAGGAAUGACAUGUGGUGCAGAGGUGGACCAGGACCACCGUGACUCUGCCGGGAGGCUGGCGGGAAACAAGGACACUCGGCACACAGAGACAGAGGACAGGAGAGAGGGAGAGUCUGGCUUACCUGGUGUAGCGACGUCCACACGGAGUCAAACGCACACAGACCUGGAGAAACCAUGGUGUGUAAUGGGAGACAGUGAGACACAGAGGCCCUGCGGUCCACAGGCAGUUCUGUUCGGUUCUGCCCCCUGUUAUGGAAUAGAGGUGAAAGCAGUAGUCUGACUCUGACAGUAAGGAAUAAGCAGAAAGACACCAUGACCUCUGCAGAAGAGAAGGAGUGUGG
rnacentral:lncRNA from 1 species